rnacentral:rRNA from 1 species
UACGUAGGGGGCAAGCGUUGUCCGGAAUCAUUGGGCGUAAAGGGCGCGUAGGCGGAUAUUUAAGUCCGGUGUGAAAUCUCGGGGCUCAACCCCAAGACUGCAUCGGAAACUGGGUAUCUUGAGGACAGGAGAGGAAAGUGGAAUUCCACGUGUAGCGGUGAAAUGCGUAGAUAUGUGGAGGAACACCAGUGGCGAAGGCGACUUUCUGGACUGUAACUGACGCUGAGGCGCGAAAGCGUGGGGAGCAAACAGG